CUUAUAUACUAAUAACCUAUAUCUUUCCCUCCAGCAUUUUAUGUCUAUCUUCAUUAUUUAAACAGGGGCAUGUCUGAACCGCUCUGCGACUCCACCCUCAUCGUGUGAUGGGAGAGGCUACGUGAUGACUGUUACAGGGCGUUGCUGAAGUCUUAAAAGCUGCUGGAAGUGAGUUUGCGUCCAAUUCGUAAGUUUUGAGACAGGACUCAGGCCAGGUUUUAUCCUAUACGACUGCAUCGGCAAGAUCAUGUUGAAUUAAACAAUUCCCUUCCAAAAGCUCGUAUUUAAUAUCAAAUUGUUCCUUGGUUGGAAAAAAUUAUUUAAACACAUUUCUUUAUUUAAUUUCAGGA